rnacentral:misc_RNA from 1 species
UCCGAGUUGACCCCGGCAGUCUCGCAUGAGUCCCCACCACCCCUAAGGGCGUGCUGGCAACAUGCGACAAGGGUUGCGCUCGUUGCGGGACUUAACCCAACAUCUCACGACACGAGCUGACGACAGCCAUGCAGCACCUGUCACCACGUCCCCGAAGGGAACUCCUACUUUCAUAGGAUAGCGUGGGAUGUCAAGCCUAGGUAAGGUUUUUCGCGUUGCGUCGAAUUAAACCACAUACUCCACCGCUUGUGCGGGCCCCCGUCAAUUUCUUUGAGUUUUAAUCUUGCGACCGUACUUCCCAGGCGGGGUACUCAAUGCGUUAGCGACGACACCGAGAGGGUAAGACCUCCCGACAUCUAGUACCCAUAGUUUACGGCGUGGACUAC